rnacentral:rRNA from 1 species
AGAGAGAGUAAAGAGCACGUGAAAUCGGUAAGGUGGAAACGGAUAGAGCUGACGUAUCGGGCUCGUAUUCAACCGUCGCGCAUGCGGCGAUUGUGAACGCGUCGUGCGCUUUUAAAGUCUCGCGGCUUGAAAGCGUUUUCGGCGCGCUCGCCGUCGUCGUGCGCGGGCGAUGCACUUACACAGGUCUGUGUGCGCUGAGGCGCGUGUGCCGGUCGCUGGACGGCUGGGCCAGAGGACGUGACGCUUUUAUUUAGCGACGCGAAACCCGGCCCGCCUUUAAGGCGCGUUCGGCGUGCGCGAAAUGCUUUUGGGAGAACGGGCGAUUUGUUCGCGAGGGCUGGCGGCGCUUUUGUGCGUGUGCGCGUGUCGCGUGCGAGGCGCGCAUUCGUGCGUAUGCGGUUGCCGUUCGGUCCGCUCCGUUUCUCUGCCUCGGUGUAAGAGUCAGUGAUCUAUCCGACCCGUCUUGAAACACGGACCAAGGAGUUUAGCGUAUGCGCGAGUCAUUGGGUGUUGAAAACCUAAAGGCGCAAUGAAAGUGAAGGCGCCCAUCGAGGUGUUGAUAUGCGAUCCGUUGCGCUGCGGCGCGGCGGCGCAGCAUAGCCCCGUUCUUGUCGCUUGCGACGGGGCGGAGGCGGAGCGUAUGCGCUGAGACCCGAAAGAUGGUGAACUAUGCCUGAGCAGGACGAAGCCAGAGGAAACUCUGGUGAAAGUCCGAAGCGGUUCUGACGUGCAAAUCGAUCGUCUGACUUGGGUAUAGGGGCGCCAGACUAAUCGAACCAUC